rnacentral:lncRNA from 1 species
UGGUGGUAAACACUCAGGUGGUGGUAAACACUCAGGUGGUGGUAAACACUCAGGCGGUGGUAAACACUCAGGUGGAGGUGGAGAGGGAUAUGGCAAAGGUGGCGGAGGUGGUUAUGGCUCAGGCGGUGGUAAACACUCAGGUGGAGGUGGAGAGGGAUAUGGCAAAGGUGGUGGAGGUGGUUAUGUUAUGGCUCAGGUGGUGGUAAACACUCAGGUGGAGGUGGAGAGGGAUAUGGCUCAGGUGGUGGAGGUGGUUAUGGCUCGGGCGGUGGUAAACACUCAGGUGGAGGUGGAGAGGGAUAUGGCUCAGGUGGUGGAGGUGGUUAUG